rnacentral:rRNA from 1 species
GCAUAUCAAUAAGCGGAGGAAAAGAAACCAACAGGGAUUGCCUCAGUAACGGCGAGUGAAGCGGCAACAGCUCAAAUUUGAAAUCUGGCCUCUUUGGGGUCCGAGUUGUAAUUUGUAGAGGAUGUUUCGGGUACCGCCUCGGUCUAAAUUUCUUGGAACAGAAUGUCAAAGAGGGUGAGAAUCCCGUCUUGGACCGGCGGUAGGGCCCAUGUGAAACUCCUUCGACGAGUCGAGUUGUUUGGGAAUGCAGCUCAAAAUGGGUGGUAAAUUUCAUCUAAAGCUAAAUAUUGGCCAGAGACCGAUAGCGCACAAGUAGAGUGAUCGAAAGAUGAAAAGCACUUUGAAAAGAGAGUUAAACAGUAUGUGAAAUUGUUGAAAGGGAAGCGCUUGCAACCAGACUUGAGCGCGGCGGUUCCCCCUUCCUUUUGGUUGGGUUACUCCGCCGUGUCCAGGCCAACAUCGGUUCUGGGGGUCGGUUAAAGGCUCGAGGAAUGUAUCUACUCCUUCGGGGGUAGACUUAUAGCCUCGGGUGUCAUGCGACCUCCCGGGACCGAGGAACGCGCUUCGGCUCGGAUGUUGGCGUAAUGGUUGUCAGCGACCCGUCUUGAAACACGGACCAAGGAGUCUAACAUCUAUGCGAGUGUUUGGGUGUCAAACCCGGAACGCGGAAUGAAAGUGAACGGAGGUAGGAAGCCGCAAGGCUGCACUAUCGACCGAUCCUGAUGUCUUCGGAUGGAUUUGAGUAAGAGCAUAGCUGUUGGGACCCGAAAGAUGGUGAACUAUGCCUGAAUAGGGUGAAGCCAGAGGAAACUCUGGUGGAGGCUCGCAGCGGUUCUGACGUGCAAAUCGAUCGUCAAAUUUGGGUAUAGGGGCGAAAGACUAAUCGAACCAUCUGGUAGCUGGUUCCUGCGA